GCCAGUGUUGCCUAGUGGUUUGAGUGUUGGACUACGACUCUGGAGACCAGGGUUCAGCUCCUUGCAUGGCCA